CUUUUCAUCUUUAUCAACCGAGGGGAGAGAACAUUAGUUUUAGCUCAUAGUUUCUUCAUUUUCUCUUAGUCUUACGAGAGGGAAAGGAAAGCCACGGCUUGCAUGUUGAGGCAAACAAAAAAAUUUCACUCAUUUUAAGGCUAGAUUCUCAAGCAUUGCUAACAAAGGAGGAGGAGGACAAAGAGUUAAAGGAAGGAGAAAGUGGUGUAGGCAAUUUCAGCUAGGAAGAAAUUUCUAGUAAGUCCUUGAACUCCAAAUUUCCAAUUUACUAUUUAAGAUAUUAUAUUAUUGAAUAAUUCAGUUGAAAUUGGUUUGAGCUACCUGUUGGUUAAUUAGUUAAAAAUGGAGUCUUGUCCAUGGCAUGUUGAAAUUGAAGUUGGUUAAGGAUAUUUUGGUUGUUUGCAUGUUGUUGUUUUUACGGUUCAAAAUAAGGAAAAGUUACAGGUUUUUAUUGCAGACCAAGAACAGGGUUCGAUGCUGUCCAAAGUAAGACAUUUUUAUUAUGUUUUGUUGAAGGUUAAAAAUUGUUAGCUAAUGCUGCUGAAUGGUGGGGUAAAUUUAGUUAUUUUAAUACUUGAAUUUAAUAAUUUAACAGUUAAAUUAUGUAUUGAUUAAUUGCUUAAAAUAUCACUGUCCUUAAGUUGUAAUUGAGGAAUAUUAAUGGUUGUGAUGUUAGUGUUUUGCUGUUGUAGUCCAGGUGGUCAGCUGACAUGAAUUAUGUGGUCUUGAAACAUAAAUUGAAGUAAAUUAAAUGUUGUAGUUAAGCUGUCCAAAAGUAUGAAUAAAUAUUGUUCUAUAUUGUGGCUUGUUACCGAAUUAAUGUUAAAACUAAGUUGAUUAAUUGGGGGAUAAAUUGUUGUUGUACAAUGAUGAUUUAUUAUCGAAUUUAAGUUGUUCCAAGGGUGAAAAGUGGCUGCUGUUGAAGUAGUGUUUAAUUAAAUUAUCCAAGUGAUGAUUAACUAUUACUGUUUAAGAUGGUGUCAAGGCUUAUUUGAUCGUCUGAAUGCAGUUAAUUAGCGGCAGGAAGCUUUGUUAGUUUAGUUAGGUUGUACUAUUUAUGAUAGUUGAAAAUAACUAUUAAAUAUUCUAAAAUUUUCCCUUGUUUAAUUGAUGUCUACUGAUGUUAAUGUGCCUAAAAAAAUGACUAUUAAAUGUUCAAAAUUCCUCUGGUUUAAUUGAUAUUUACUGCUUUUAAACUAUAUCUGAACGUGAGUGAUAAAUGAUUAAAUUUAUCCUUAAUCAUUCGAUUUAUUGCUGCUAUGUAAGAUGUUCAAAAAAAAAAAUUACGAAACCUUGAUGCUGGGAAGAACAGUUGGAUCAAGGGAAAAAUCGGGUAGAAUCCAUGGUUGAUGGAACUGUUGAUGCCUACAUGGCAGAAUCUUGUUAUUUGCCCUUGUGCUCAAGAGCUUAGAGGAUUAAAGUUGGAUAGGGGAAAGGAAAAAGUAAUCGAAUAGCCGUUGAAAUCGUUCGACAACUUCCGAGGUAAGUUUCUAGCAUAUAAGUUUAGUUAUAAUGAAGAAUGAUAUGGAAUACGGGUAAAGAUGGGACUAUGAAUUGGUGUAAUUACCUAUAGUAAAAUGAUAAGGAAUAAGUUACUUCUAUGAGCCUUAGCCGAUUUGUUAUUAGAAAAGUGAUAUUUAAAUUAUGAUUUGUAUGUGAUAAUAAGAAGUACUUAUAUAUGAUGAUAUGUUUUAAACUCAAAUGCUAAGUUCUUAAGUGUUUGGACUUGGAAAUUUAAGAGCAAAUUGUAAUAAUCUGCUUAGGACAGCAACAGUAGCGUGAUUUUGAAAAUCACCAUAAAUUGUUGGAGUGGAAUUAGAGACUGAAUAAAAUAUGUAAUCAAAGCUCAAUGAGUCUAGUUUCUUAUAAAAUAAACAGUGUAAGCAAAGGAAUUUCCUAUAGAGAGAUAUUUAAAGUUGUGUGUGAUAGUGUCAGAAUGAAUCUGAAAUCCCCUGUUCUGUUUUUAGAAAAUCAUUAUAAAUAGUACAAAAAUUGUUAUAAGAUAAAAUUUAUAUUCUUAGACUCCUUAAUGAGUCUAGUUUCAAAUGAAAUAAACAAGAACAUAUUUUGAAAUCUGUACAAUGAGAAAUUUGAUUCGUAGUGAAGAGUGGUCAGUAUAGUCGAUCAGUGAAAUAGGGGAAACUUUAAGAAAAUUCUGGUUUUGAUUGGCCAAACCAAAAAUCAUGAAAAUUUUAUGGAUAGAAGAUAUAUGAGUCUAUUUUCGGGGAAAAUUUACGGCACUUCAUUUGGAGUUCCGUAGCUCCAGUUACAAAUUAUCUAAUGAUUGUUGCUCAAAAAAACAGCUUGUAGUGAAUCUGUGAUUUUGUUGUAAACAUUGAUAAAACUAAUUGAGUUGCUUAUAAGCUAUUGCUGAAUUGAUGCACAAGAUAAAUAUAUAGGUGGUGAGGCCAAAAUGGCUAAAAUUUAAAUGUGUGCAAGUUAUCCGAAUGGCUAUUUUAUAAACGUAAGUAAUGUAUAUGUAAUAUGUGUUGAUAGUUUUAUAAAUUGAAGGUGUAGUGACUUAUAUGUUGUUUAGCCGAAUGGUUGUCAUGAGAAGAAUGUAAGUCAUGUGUGUAUUUUCUUAUUUAGUUGGAAGUUUAUUGAAAGGGAUAUAUAUAGAUAUAUAUAUAAAUAUGAAUUAAAGUCGAACGAUAUUAGGACAUGAAGUUAAGGUAUACGCUAUAUGCUUAUAUUCGAAUGAGGUUAAUGAAUUACAAUGGUGAUAGUUUGUGUGAAAUGUGGUAACAUGUGAUUAUAGGGUUAUGUUUUAUUUGAAAUAUUAAUGUGAAUAUGAACUAAAGAACUAAGCUCCUAAAUACAUAUAUAUAUUUAUGUAUGUGCACGAAAUGAGUGCAUAUGAUUAAGUGGUUAGAGGUAUUGAAAGGUUGAAUUGGUAAUUGGUAACUAUGGAAACGGUAAGUGUACAAAGGUUAAGUAUAUGGUAAGUGAUACUUACUUGCUAUGUGAAUUCGAUUUCGUUUGUAUUACAAAUGUACUUGGGGAAUCACUUAUGAGAUGGUUAUAAGUUAUAUUCAUCGAGUAUUGACUCUAUCAAAUUGUUUAUGUAAUAUGAAAACAUGAAUAUGUGUUUCCAAAUAUGGAAACCGAAUGUGAUUAUAGUGUUAUGUUUUAGUUCAACUGAUUAAACUAAAAAAAAAAUAGCAUUGAUGUUUUUUUUAAAUGCGAAGGGGUAUAUACUCUUAAAUUUGGAUGAAAUAGAUGAAUUACAUGUGCAUAGGGUUUAAUCUAUUUGACCGAAUGGUGAUAUAUCUUGACAUUUCAAAACGUGAUUUGUGUAAGGCCUAAUCUUAAGCGACUUAGUAAUAAAUCAACAAUUACGGAUGUUCAGCACAUUAAGUUGGCCAGGUAUAUAUUAUGUACUUGUGUAGGCUUAUUAAGCCCAUCGAGACUUCACUUGGAUUUUGUGUAAGUUAUAAAUGUAUUUAAUCCAGCAAAGUUAAUUGUUUUACUUAAGACUUACUAAGCCUUGAAAGCUUACUCUGUUGUUACAUUUCUCUGUUUUAUAGAUUGCCAAAUUUGGCCUUUGCUCGGGAAUCGUCAACAACUCGUCACACUAUCACUAUCCACUGUUUGGUACUGUUAUGUUUUGGAUUAUUUUAUGGCAUGUAUAGAAUAGACUAGUAGCAGAAUAAUAUUCUGGUUAAUGUAUAUAAGCCAUGCGAAAAUGGCAUCCUUUGAAUGUGUACUUAUAGAAGUUUAAUUUUAUCCUUGGCUGUAUUUAGCAUUUAUCUAAAUGAAUGAUCUUUAUUUC
rnacentral:lncRNA from 1 species